rnacentral:rRNA from 1 species
GGACUACACGGGUAUCUAAUCCUGUUCGCUCCCCACGCUUUCGCGUCUCAGCGUCAGUACCGUACUAGAGAGCCGCCUUAGCCACGGGUGUUCUUCCUGAUAUCUGCGCAUUUCACCGCUACACCAGGAAUUCCACUCUCCUCUUCCGGACUCUAGUUCGGGGGUUUCCAUCGGCGUCUCGAGGUUGAGCCUCGAGUUUUCACAACGGACCUACCGAACCGCCUACACGCUCUUUACGCCCAAUAAAUCCGGACAACGCUUGCCCCCUACGUAUUACCGCGGCUGCUGGCAC